rnacentral:misc_RNA from 1 species
UUUCCGUAGGUGAACCUGCGGAAGGAUCAUUAAUGAGUUGUCAUGGGGUUCGAUGCUGGCAGCCAAUUUUUGGAUGCAUGUGCUUGCCCUAACAAUCAUCUUCCAAACACCUGUGCACAUUUUUGAGGGAGUCUUGAGUUGGUUGCCGCUCUUGGGUGGUUUUCUCACAUUCCCUUAAAUCAUUAUACGCUAUUAACAAUGUUGAACGUGCUCUGUGCCGCAAGGCUAUUAAUAUAAUACAACUUUUAACAACGGAUCUCUUGGCUCUC